GCUAAACUGCGGAAGUGUCGGGAUAGCUAGAUACAGCCAGAAGAGGGCCCCAACAGGCUGAGUGCCAAGGGUGUUGUCCAUGGAUUGCAGCACAGGAAGGGGCGUCCAUGCUGCAAUAUCCUCUGCUGUUGUUCAUCGGUUUUUCAGAUCUCUUCAUCACUUGAAUCCGUUUCUGAAUCCCUGUCGUUAUUAUGUGGGUUGCAUCAUGAUGCCUCACAGCAUUUGCAGCUGAGACUGCAUGGCACGUGAGCCUGCUUGCACGAGUAUGCUGGUCCCCAAGAUGCGGUCUGGCACUUGAAACUUGUUAUCCGAAGAUAUUCUGCUGGUAGUGACUCACACGCAGUUAAGAUUCUAACAUAAUAAAGGGCUUAAUCAGUC